rnacentral:rRNA from 1 species
CGUAGGUGGCAAGCGUUGUCCGGAAUUAUUGGGCGUAAAGCGCGCGCAGGCGGUCCUUUAAGUCUGAUGUGAAAGCCCACGGCUCAACCGUGGAGGGUCAUUGGAAACUGGGGGACUUGAGUGCAGAAGAGGAGAGUGGAAUUCCACGUGUAGCGGUGAAAUGCGUAGAGAUGUGGAGGAACACCAGUGGCGAAGGCGACUCUCUGGUCUGUAACUGACGCUGAGGCGCGAAAGCGUGGGGAGCAAACAGGAUUAGAUACCCUGGUAGUCCACGCCGUAAACGAUGAGUGCUAAGUGUUAGAGGGUCUCCGCCCUUUAGUGCUGCAGCUAACGCAUUAAGCACUCCGCCUGGGGGAGUACGGCCGCAAGGCUG